rnacentral:lncRNA from 1 species
ACCCAUACAACUAGCUCUCUCGUCAUAAACACUAAUUCUACUAGCUUUUGCCUAUAUAUGUGCUGUACCAGCCAUCAUCAAUAGUAAUACAAGGAGUAAGAGAAGGCAUACCCAUCUUCAGAAGUUGAAAUAAGCUCUAAACCCUUGUUCAGUAUCUGUUUUUGCGAAGGAAUAGCCCCCACUAGCUGGUAACACUGGCUCAACAAGCUAUAUGCUCUGCACUUGAGCUCAAAGCAUGACGGAAUUGACUUUAACAGCAAUUGCUGAACCCAAUUACAGCAUAGUUAUUCAGUAUCCAGCACUAAAAAAAGUUAUUAAAUUCCAAAUUACAGCAUAAUUGUUGCUGUUAAGCACAUGACUUACAGAGCGUUCAAGGUGGGCUUUGGCAUGGUUGACAUUAUUGGAGUGCUUAAGAAGGAGAGUGGCGAUCCGAAGCCGAGUUUUAAUUUCGACAAUAGGAAGGAACGAAACGUGGCUUUGACAUAUAGCUUCUAAGCAUUUCACGGCUUUUCCAAUUUCUCCCUUCUUCUCCUGAUAAUCUGCGAGUCCCCACAGUCCCUCCGCCACUGCUUCCAUUUUUUCAAAGUUCCUAGAGUUACCUGUGUCCUUACGCCACCUUUCGCUUCCCCUUCGCCGCCGUCAACCGCUAUAUCGCCGGAGGCUUAAUUAGCGGUGAAAUUUUUCGGGCAUUUCAAAUUGGGGAUUUGUCUAUCUGGGUCAACCCGUUUGACUUCCGCAGUGAAAUGACUGGGACAGUGACCCUUGUAAAUCGGACUAUUUUGGACUUUCUUUUAGAUUUCGACACGCGCGAUUAUUCUUCUUUUUCAUAUGUUUUUUAUUUUAAUAAACAAAUUGAUUUUUCUCUUUAGAGAUCAAAUAUAUAGAUGUAAAUUUGUUGAAAUUCACCUGACAAAAAUGUGCAUUGCACAGUAGAUAAUAUUUUUUCUAUCAUGGUAUUGGAAAAAUUACUCCAUGAAUCUUAAUUACAAGAUUCAUGUUAAAACAAUAGGGAAAUAUAAAGUUUUACAAUAAAAUUAAUGAAAAAGGGUCAAAAUACCCUUGAACUAGUGAAAAUAGAGCAGUUAUACCCCUCACUUCACCAUUAAUCAAGUGGAGCAAAUAUGCCCCUCCCACAAACGGACUCCACAUCAUAUGUAAAUCAGCAUAAAAUAAUAUUUUUUCUUUCACUUCUUCUACUUUCUCCUCCAACUUUAAUUCCAUUCGCUUCUCUUCCCCCGCACUCUACUCCGGCUCCACCACUUCUUUGUAAAAUUCCUGUGAAUUUUUUAUUUUAUUAAGGCUAAUUGCGGAGUAAAACUAAUAAUUAAGAGAAAUCCAAUGUGUGUAGGGCCUACACGAUGGCAUAAGAACGGUUUGAAUAUUGUGUUAGGAGAAUAAAGUAUUACGGAAGUGAUUUAUGAUCUAUGGAAAGCUGUGCAACCUGAUAGGUCGUUUUAUGAGUACUAGCUCCAUUUUCUGUAUUCCGAGACCUCUCAUAGCUUUAUUUGAUGAGUUAUGAUUUGCGUGUGUGGUCCGUGUCGUUUUUCGAAAAGCUAAUAUGUGAAAUUUUAAAGAAAAUGUGAUUUUUGACUUAAAUGAGGUUUGAGUUGACCACGGUCAACAUUUCUGGUAAACGACCUCGGAUCGGUAUUUCGACGAUUCUGAUAGGUUCGCAUGAUAUUUUUGGACUUUUACGCAUGGUUGGGUUCCCGGGUGACCCGAGGGUGUUUCGAGGCAUUGUGUGAAAAUUGACAAAAAUUGAGUUUCAUGUUGAAAAUAUUGAGUUUUGAUUAUCGAUUCUUGAUAUUUGAUGUUAUUUUUAUAUUUUGAGGUAGUGAGUGAGUUUGUAUGGUGUUAUUAUACCGGUGUAAAUGUUUGGAUUGGAGCCCGAGGGGCUCGAGUGAGUUUUGAAUGGCUUUUGGAAGGAAAUGAACUGUUGUUGGGAAUCUGGCAAUUGCGAGUCCCGCUUUUGCAAAGUCGAGCUGGCAAAUGUGAUAACUGGGGAGGGACUGUGAUCUUUGCAAAUGCGAAAUAGCUAUCACAAUUUCCAACUAGUGGCCAUCGCUUUUGCGAUGGAGUUGUCACAAAUGCGACCGGGGCAUGGGUUGGGCUGCCUUCGCAAAUGCGAAGGUGGAAUCGCAUUUGCGAUUGUGGGGAAUCUGCAAAUGUGAAGGUUAUGUCAUUUUUGCGACCAUUGUUUGGCUGGGACACUAUUCGCUUUUGCGAUUGUCGCAAUUGCGACAUCUACAACUGGGUAAAAGUUGGGAAAAAUGAGACUUAGCUUAUUUUACGUCAUUUUUCAAUCCUAUACUCCAUUAAGGAAAUUUCUUGAGAGCAUUUUCUUCCCAAAUUCAUUGGUAAUCAACUUUAACUGGUUUUCCAUCAAUUCUCAUUACUUUUUCAUGAAUUUCUUCAUCAAAUCUAUGAAUUUCACGUAUUCGGGCUCGGGGUGAAUGGAUAAUCGGAAAUUGAUUCGAAUCUCGGAUUUCGACCACGUGGGUUUGGGUUGACUUUUUGUUGAUAUUUUCAAAUAUGAUCAAAAUUGAACCUUUUUCAUUUGUGCGUAGUUUCUAAAGCUUGUUUUGGAUUGUUUGAAUGAUAUUUGACUAGAUUUGGUUGGAGGCUUGUUCUAAAGGAAAAGCCGUAGUCGAUUGUUGAUUCGUUCCGAAAAGUGGUAAGUGUCGUGGUUAACCUCUACUUGAGAGAAUUAGGAAUUGAUUGGUCUAGUUGUUACUUGAUUGAUGUGUGGGGAUGGAGUAUAUGCAAGGUGACAAGUGUAUAUGCGUCGUAAUUGGUUAAGCAUGCAGGGCGGGCUACUUAAUUGCAUGUUUUUAUUUAUAUUAUGCCUUCUUUUAUUCCAUGUUAUUACUCGUUCUGUGCUUUAAUUGCUACUUGCCUUUAUUUGUUAAAUUCAUGAUUACGUUCGAUGCAUGCCUCAAUUUCCUAUAUGUUUCCAUGUAUCCAUGCCUUCACUUAUAGACCGCCUUUACUUGCUUUAUGCUUUUAUAUGUUGUUAGCUAGUCAUUUUUACUUGUCUUAUGUCUUUACUUGUUUAGUUGCCUUACUUGGUCCAUUUACCUCUACUAUGUACGUUGAACUGUCUUAGAGACAUUAUUUGUUUGGUUCCCUUUUGUGUUACAUUAUGAGAUACACAAUAGCUGGUUGUAGUAUUAUUUGUAUAUGUGGAGCGGGUUGAGUGCGAAGUUAUAUUAUGAUUAUUCUUGACUGUUGAUUUCGUUACUGUAUUGUGCUUUGAAACUGAGCAUUGAUGACAUUCUGGGGCCCUCUAUUGUGUAUUUCUUAUUCCAGUUUCCAUGUUAAUUGAUGUUCCACUAUUCCGUUAUUUUUUCCACUUAUACUCAUACAGAUUUACAAUGAGUGUCUUGUCAUAACCUUGUCACUACUUCGUCCAGGUUAGGUUCGGCACUAACGGAGUACAUGAAGUCGGUUGCACUCAUACUACACUUCUACACUUCUUGUGCAGAUUCUGGUGUUGGUCCGAGCGGCGCUUAGUUGAGAUUUAUCCGGACUCAUUUCAUCAGGAGACUUGAGGUAGAACUGCACAUCACUCGUAGACCCUGAAGUUCCCUCUUUAUCUACUAUAUUGUUUGUUUUAUUUCGGACACUUGUAUUAUUACUUCAAACCCUAUUUGUAGUACUUUUAGCAGCUCAUGCACUACUGACACCAGUUUUGGAAUUAGACUAGACAGCGUGUAUAUGGAUUUUAUUAUGCAUUUCCAAGUUUUACAACUUUACCUUUGUAAUAAUCUGCUUUUAAAAUUGUUAAAGUGAUUUGUUGCACCUUAUUUUGGACAGGUCAAAACAAUAUAUAACUAGUGGUUCUUCUGAAGUUGAUAAAAGAGUUGCCACCUAAUAUUUAAGAUAUAUUAGGGUACCUAUAAGUUUGUGAAAAUUAUUAUCCUAAUGGUCUGCUAACCGGUGAGAUUUGGGUAAGGGUUCUAGUUAUUCUAAGGGGAAGGGGUUAUGCAUCCCUUAAAAUCUACUUGAGGUAGAUCCUUAAACUUGGGCUAGGCUUGGGAAAAGAAAUAUCUAUAUUCUGGUUGAUUAGUGGUUAUAAAUUGCUAAAUGGGUGUUGUAAAAGUGAGAAAAUGCUUAAAGCUUAUUUUGAAAUGCGUCUUGUUUCCUUUUGAGAAAAGAUGGUCUUUGACAUUUAGAAAUAAUAAUAUUUCUCUAAAAUCUUCCUAUUUAUAUUUGUGCAAAAUGAGAUGUAUUACGCGACAAAAGAGUAUACCUUGUCUAUUUGUUGAAAGUAGUUUUGGGGGCGAAAGACUCCGUGUAUUUCAAGAGAGGUAUUUGAUUUUCUUAAAACAGAAUCGUUAGUUUCACUGGUUUUGGAAAUCAAUGCGGUUGCCUCAGUUUGCUUUGAAGCAGUUUGGCCUAUUUCAGAGAUCUUUCAAAGGAAUUUCUGUUUUGACUAGCAUUGAAUUCCAUUUCCUUUUAAUCUUUUCUGGGCCCUAUUAAUUGACUAAAACCAAAGCAAACUUUAGUAAAGGAUAAACGAAAAAUAAGUUAUCGAAAAACAGUUUACCUUUGGAACCACUCAAAUUUUAAAAGGAUGUUAGGGUCGUUUUGAGGUGAUUAACCAUAGUUACCCCUUUUGUUUAUCAGAUUUGGCUUGCCCUAAGGCCAGCCUAAUCAAUCACAAAUAUUCAAUAGCAACGUUAGUUAUCCAAAGACAAUACAGGAAAAUAAAUAGUGACAAUUUCUAUACAAGUAAAAUGAGGAAAUUGGAUUCUUCUAUUGGACUGUCAAAAGCAAACCAGGCCCAGAUUGAUCCUAAAGCAGCGGCAAACUUCAGCAAAUAAGGAAAGCAGCCAAGUUCUGGAACUUGGGUCUGAGUUGCAAAUGAACUCAGCAGGACCAGUUCAAACAUACAUAUAAAAGAACAAGAAGAUAAUUAGUGUAUAUUAAUAUAAGGUAAAAUAAGAUAAAAUCAUAACAAGUAAAUAAAACUCUAAAGAGUACAUUAAGGUUUAGUUUUCAUUUGUGUCAACCCUGUGAAGAUUAUUUAAGGUUGGUGACCACCAAAGGCUUGGGGUGAAUCAUGUUUUAUUUAUGAAGUCCCCCUAUGUACCCCUGACACUUUAGAGUUCAAGAAGGUCUCAUGGACCCCGAGCAAUGCUUGUAUCAGGGAGGUGUACCUCAACCACAAAACCAGACUCACACCCAUAUACCCCCAGUCAUUGACUUCUUACUCUUCCUUAAAAGUUUAGACACAAAUAAAGAUUAACUCAACAUCUCAACCAACACAUAUCAUAAAAAGAACAAAUACAAAAGGUUCAUCCACACAGAAAAUGCCAAUUUGAAAUCAAACAACCAUAUUUAGCAUUGUAGCUAUCAUUAGAGUACCAAUCCAUAAUCAAAUGAGGUCUGAACACAAUAUUGGCCCUUAAGUACUCUUGACUGAACACAACAUAUAAGAACAAGUCAUAAUAGAUGGAUCAUUGAAGUUAUGAUAGUAACGAAGGGCCUUAAUGUUGAGUCUAAGUAUCACACCAUGCACAUAACACUUAUGAGGAUCAAUAAUCGAACACAGUCAAACACGAGUCACAAACAAAGAAGGUUGAUGACAUGAUGUUAGUAGAUAUGUUCAAUUAUGCCUUAUUAAGUAAUUUAAAGUAUCAUUGAGUGACAAAGAUGAUCAUAUGCACUUGUUCUGUCAAUUCCACUAAAGGUUCAACAUUCCAGGAUCUCCUUGAAUAGGUCCAGAUCACUAGAGCAGGUCAACAUAUAUCUUAGCAAUUUUCUAAGCAGUUUAUAGCAAGUAUACACAUAACUAAGACCUUACAUCAUAAACACUUACGCUAACGGCCUUGUUCAGGAUUCCUAAAAAGCCUAUCAAUCAACCAAAUCAUCAGAGACAUAAAUAUAAAUAGGAGAGUCGGCUUUAGUCUUUAUUUAGACCUAUUGGACAUGAUAUCUAGUUGCGAUAGUGUGUAGGCUAUAAGUUACCAGAACCACACAACUCUCAAAUUCACGAGUGAGUGCUUCUUUAAACAAUGAUGUCAAAUAGGCACGAGAUGACACUCACUUUAAUUGGUAAAGGUAAGGCAAGUUGAUCACAUCAAAUUAUCAUUUUGGGUAUGUGGACAGGUUUACUAACAAGGCAUUCCAACAAAGCUCAAUACAUAAUAUAUAUAUAUAUAUAUAUAUAUAUAUNNNNNNNNNNNNNNCUUAGCUAGUUAACACAAUGGUUUAAGCAUAAAAUUUUCUCAAGCUAAGGGCAUGCAAAAGUUUAUAACUUGACUAGCAGAAACAACAUGACAGAUGUAAGAACAAGUAUAUGAGUCAAUGAGGGUCAUUCAAUUAAUACAACAAUACAGGUUUCAUGUAGCUACAAUCACAGAGUUCAGGCAAUCAUGAGAUGGCAAACAAUGACACCCAUAACAUGGCUGAUCCUAAUAAGUUAUAUUUAGAUAUGUGAACAGAUUUACUAAUACACCAACAAGGUUCAUUAUAUGAUUCUUUACUUCAAACCAUCAUAAUAAACACACAUGAAUCACUUUAUUACAGUAUCAUAAACAAGUUGUCAAUUAGAGUCAAACAUAUCAACAUGAGAGUAUGAACAAUGAUGAGAACCAUUUCAUUGAACUAAAACGAUGCAACACAAUAUCACAGACAUGGGGAUUAAGAUAGCAUAGUGCAACAGGUAUUAAUAGGCCACCAAGAGAGGUUCAAAAGCUUAUUCACUCAACUUAGUCAACAUGAUGGUAUGUAUAUGGCUAUCAUUCGAUUGACAUGAUGGACCACAUAAUUAUCAACAUAAGGGUCAGCUAAUGUCACGACCCUAAGUUCCCUCUGUAGGAUGUCAUGACGACACCUAAUCUCUAAGACUAGAUAAGCCUAAAAACAUGCAGAAUAAUUGAAAUAACAACUUAGAAUCUCAAAACUUCAACAAUUACAUAAAUAAAAUCUGUAACUCAAUAUGUACAACUCCCAAAACCUGGUGAAAUAUAAGUCACAAGGUCUAAGUAAUAGUACUGAACAAUCAUAUACAUCACUAUCUAUAAUAGUGUAAUGAAAUAAGGAAAAAACAUGAUAGAAGGGGACUCCAAGGCCUGCGGACGCGGGCAGGUGUACCUUGAAGUCUCCAAAGCAAGUUCAGCUCACUAAUACUAAGAGUGAUAGGAAGUACCUGGAUCUGCACAAAAAGAUAUACAAAAGCAUAGUAUGCGUACACCACAUCGGUACCUAAUAAGUGCCAAGCCUAACCUCGGUAGAGUAGUGACGAGGUCAAGUCGAGGCCCUAUCGGAGAUAAUAAGAAACAAGACGAAAGAUAUAACGAUAUAAUGGUAAUGAUAAUGGAAAUGAAACAAUAAGGAAUUUAUGGAAAGUUAACAACACAGAAUCAAGGCAGUUAAUACAACACGGAAGGAAACAAGGAUUUACAUGUUAAGGAAAACAAACAACCAAGACAAAUACAUCAAAUAGAGAAAGAUCAACAAGGGCCACUACCGAGGUACCACCUCGUAGUCCCAAAUCAUAAAAGUAACUAAUAGUUUUUCCUUCUAUCAUAGCGGGAGCCUUUACAUUUAGUUUUAAAUUUUUUUUUUUCCGAAAUAGCAUCCCGCGUUUUAUCCCACCUUAUCACACCGCAUAGCUUCUAGUAGUUCUCCUACUAGCCACGCAUAUCAAGCCCACCUUAUCUCAUUGCAUGUAUUUCAACACUCAGACCUUAUACCACCGCAUGCGUAUCAAUAUCACAACGUAUCAUAAUUCGCACCUUAAGUGCCCAAUAUCACAACUUGCUAGAAAAGCCAAACAAUAGCAAAAAUUUCACAAUAAGGAAACCCACGACUCAACCACAAUGUACACAAAGUCUCAACAAUAACAACCGGAGAGUAACUCAAUAAAUUGAUAUUUUACAACUUACACUCUGCCUCAAUAGGAACCACGGCCUUUGAAACUCACUACCAAAUUCAACGGUAAGAUAUUCCAAGAAUAGCAAUUUCAAGUAAGGAUUCAACAGUUAAAUAAUGAAUAUGAAAUAAAAGAAAGCAAGUAAUUCAACUAAACAUGUAGGAAAAAUUGCAAAUAAGAGAUAAGACAAGUAGACAUGUGAAGUUAGACUAAAUAUGAUGACUAUAACAUGUUAAGGUAACUCAAUUAAAGUAUGAAAAUAAUCUACAUAGCUAAAACCAAAAAUUUCAACAUUUAGCCCGUGUACACACUCAUCACCUUGCAUACACGGCUUCCACAUAUCACAAUUAUCACAAUAAUACCAAAUCCUAAGGGGAAUUCCCCCCUCCCCCUCCCCCCCCCCACAAGGUUAGACAAGUCACUUACCUCAAACCACGCUAAAUCAAUCAACUAGAAGGCUUUUCCCUUAAUUUUUUAACUCCGAACGACUCGAAUCUAUCCAAAACAAUUGCAUACUAUAAAUAUAACUAUAAGAAACUAAUUCAAAUAAUGAAAUUACGAUCUUUGCAAAGAAUUGAAAAAUCGACCCAAAGAGUCACCCUAGGCCCGCAUCUCGAAACCCGACCAAAAUUAUAAAAGCCGAACACCCAUUCGAUAUCGAGUCCAACCAUACAAAAAUUAUUCAAAUCCAACCUCAUUUCGCCUUUCAAAACUUAAAAAUUUAGCCUAAGGAGUUUCUACCAUUUUUUCCCAAUUUCCAACUCCAAAGCACUAAUUAAAUGAUGAAAUUAUCAAUAGAUUCAUGUGAAUUAAUCAAAAACGAGUUAGAAUUCCUUACCCCAAAGUUCUCUCUGAAAAUCCCUCAAAAUGUUACCUCAAACAGAGCUCUCUACGUCCCAAAAUGAAUUAUGAAUCAACCCCUCGAAUUUUCCUUUUUUCUGCCCAACGAUCCUCGCCUCUGCGGCCUUUGUGUCGCUUCUGCGAUGCCGCAUGUGCGGAAAAACCAUCGCAGGUGCGGAUUCCACUUAAGUCCAGGGGUUCCUAUUCUGCGGUCAAUGGCUCGCACCUGCGAGCAUGCUUCUGUGGAGAAAAAGCCCGCACCUGCGGUCCUGUCCUAGCCCCUCCUCAAAUUUCGCUUCUGCGGAGAAAGGGUCGCGCCUGCGGAAGCACAUCUGCGCUCAAGCGUCCGCACCUGCGAACCCAUGCAUGGGAUGGGCUCCUCUGCUUCUGCGAUAACCAAGGCGCACAUGCGUGUCCGUACCUGCGGCCAGACCCUCCGCAGGUGCAAUGACACCAGAACAACAGAACUUCAACAAAAUACUAAGUCCUAAAAUGAUCCGAUUUUCAUCCGAUUCUCACCCGGGACUCCGUCUGAAUAUACCAACAAGUUUCAAAGCACAUAACAGACCUACUCGAGGACAAAAAUCACAUCAAACAACGUAAAUUCUAUGAAUCGUAACCCAAAUUCAAGCCUAAGUAAUUAUGAACUUCAGAAUUAUGAAACCAACGUCGAUUCGUACCAAAACAACUCCAAUUGACCUCAAAAUUUGCACACAAUUCAUAAAUGAUAUUACAGACCUAUUCCAUUUUCCAGAAUCAGGAUCCGACCCCGAUAUCAAUAAAGUCCACUCCCGGUCAAACUUUCCAAAAUCUUCCAACUUUCCAACUUUCGCCAACUCACGCCGAAACUACCUACGUAUCUCCAAAUCAACAUCCGGAUACACUCCUAAGACCAAAAUUACCCUACGAAGCUAUUGGAAUUGUCAAAACUCCAUUCCGGAGUUAUCUUCACAAAAGUCAAACUAUGGUCAACUCCUACGACUUAAACCUCCAAUUUAGGGACUAUGUGUCCCAUUUCACUCCGAAACUCACCCAAAACCAAAACCAACCACCCCGACAAGUUACAUAACCACAAUAUAGCAUAAAGAAAGCAUAAUUUUGGGGAUCGGGGUUAAAUACUCAAAACGACCGAUCGGGUCAUUAUAUCCCCUCUCUCUUAAAACAAACGUCCGUCCUCGAACGAGUAUAGAGACAUAUCUGAAAUGGUGAAAAGAUGAGGAUAACGGCUACGCAUAUCAUGCUCGAUCUCCCAAGUUGCCUCCUCGACUGGCUGACCCCUCCACUGAACCUUCACUGAAGCAAUGUUCUUCGACCUCAAAUUUCAAACCUGCUUGUCCUAAAUGGCCACCGGCUCCUCAACAUACGAUAAAUCCUUGUCCAAUUGGACUGAGCUGAAAUCCAACAUAUGAGACGGAUCGCCGUGAUACUUUCAGAGCAUAGAAACAUAGAAUAAUGGAUGAACUACAGCUAGACAAGGUGGUAGUGCAAGUUGGUAAACCACAUCUCCAACCCUCUCAAGAAUCUCAAAAGGUACGAUAUACCUAGGGCUUAACUUUCCCUUCUUCCCGAACCUCAUAACACCCUUCAUGGGAGAAAUUCGGAGCAAGACCUGCUCCCCAACCAUGAAUGCAAUGUCGUGAACCUUCCGAUUUGCAUAACUCUUCUGUUUGGAUUAGGCUGUACGAAGUCGAUCUUGAAUCAAUUUAACCUUUUCCAAAGAAUCCUGAUCCAAGUCUGUCUAACCUCAUCCGGCUCGAACCAACCCACUGGAGACCCGCACCGCCUACCAUAUAAAGCCUCAUACGAGGCCAUCUGAAUUCUCGACUGGUAACUGUUGUUGUAGGCAAACUCCGCAAGCGGCAAGAACUGAUCCAAAGAACCCCCAAACUCCAUCACACAUGCACAAAACAUAUUCUCCAAUAUCGAAAUAGUGCGCUCGGACUGUCCGUCCGUCUGAGGGUGAAAUAUUGUACUCAAAUCCACCUGUGUGCCUAACUCAUGCUGAACGGCCCUCCAGAACCGCGAUGUUAACAAUGUACCCCAGUUAGAGAUGAUAGAUACCGGCACGCCAUGAAGCCUGAAAAUCUCGCUAAUAUAAACCUGAGCCAGCUGCUUUGAAGAAUAAGUAGUCACCACUGGAAUGAAAUAAGGUGACUUGGUCAAUCUAUCCAUAAUUACCCAUACUGCAUCGAACUCUCUCCAAGUCUAUGGGAGCCCAACAACAAAAUUCAUAGUGAUUCGCUCCCAUUUCUACUCUGGAAUAUCUAACCUUUGAAGCAAUCCACCAGGUCGUUGAUGCUCAUACUUCACCUGUUGACAGUUUAGGCACCGAGCUACAUAUUCCAUUAUGUCCUUAUUCAUCCGCCUCCACCAAUAGUGCUGCCUCAAGUCCUGAUAUAUCUUGGUGGCACCCGGAUGAAUGGAGUACCGCGAACUAUGAGCCUCUUGGAGAAUCAACUCAUACAAUCCAUCUACAUUAGGCACACAUAGCUUGCCCUGCAUCCGUAAUACACUGUCAUCCCCAAUAGUGACCUCUUUGGCAUCGCCGUGCUGAACUGUGUCCUUGAGGACAAACAUAUAGGGGUCGUCAUACUGACGCCCUCUGAUACGAUCAUAAAAUAGAAGACCGAGAAACCACACAAGCCAAAACUCAGCUCGGCUCCGAAACAUCCAAUCUAACAAACUGGUUGGCCAAAUCCUAAACAUCCAAGGCUAAUGGCCUCUCUGCUACCGUUAGAUAUGCUAAACUGCCCAGGCUCUCCGCCUUGCGACUCAAGGCAUCGACCACCAUAUUGGCCUUUCCAAGAUGAUAUAGAAUGGUGAUAUCAUAGUCCUUACGCAACUCUAACCACCUCUAUUGCCGCAAGUUAAGAUCCUUCUGUUUGAUGAGAUGCUGUAGACUCCAGUAGUCGGUGUAGACCUUACUAGAGACACCAUACAAAUAGUGCCGCUAGAUCUUCAAGGCAUGAACAAUAGCUGCUAACUCGAGGUCAUGGACAAAAUAGUUCUUCUAAUGCACCUUCAGUUGUCUAGAUGCGUAGGAAAUCACCUUACCGUCUUACAUCAACACCGCACUGAGACCGAUAUGCGAUGCAUCAUAGUACACAGUGUAAGACCCUGAACCCAAAGGCAACAACAACAUUGGGGCUGUAGUCAAAGUUUGUCUUGAGCUUUUGAAAGCUCGCAUCACCCUCCUCAGUCCACCUGAACGGAGCACCCUUCUAGGUCAAUCUGGUCAUGGGUGCAGCAAUAGAUAAGAAACCCUACACAAAUCGACGGUAAUACCCCGCCAAACUAAGAAACUCCGGAUCUCCGUCGCUGAAGAUGGUCUAAGCCAACUCUAUACUACUUCAAUCUUCUUCGGAUCUACCUUGAUCCCCUCACUCGAUAAAAUAUGACCCAAAAAUUCUACCGAAUCAAGCCUAAAUUCACACUUUGAAAAUUUUGCAUAUAACAUCUUUUCUCGCAAGGUCUAGAGCACGAUCCUCAAGUGAUGCUCAUGAUUCUCCCAGCUCCGGGAGUACACCAGAAUGUGGUCAAUAAACACAAUGAUAAAUGAGUCAAGAUAGGGCUGGAAAACACUAUUCAUCAAGUGCAUAAAUGCUGCUGGGGCAUUGGUCAGUCCAAAAGAUAUUACAAGGAACUCGUAAUGAUCAUACCGAGUCCUGAAGGCAGUUUUCAGGAUAUCUAGCUCCCGAAUCUUCAACUGAUGAUAGCCUGAACGUAAGUCAAUCUUGGAGAACACUCUGGCACUAUAUAACUGAUCAAAUAGGUCAUCAAUACGUGGCAAUGGAUACUUGUUCUUCACUGUAACCUUGUUCAACUAGCGAUAAUCAAUGCACAAGCGCAUAAAACCGUCCUUCUACUUUACAAACAAUACCGGAGCACCCCAAGGUGAUACACUAGGCCGAAUGAAACCCUUAUUAAGCAACUCAUGUAACUGCUUUUUGAACUCUUUCAACUCUAGUUGGGUCAUACGAUAUGGAGGAAUAGAAAUGGGCUUAGUGCCCGGUAACAAAUCAAUACCAAAAUUAAUGUCAGGUGGCAUGACCGAAAGAUCCGCUGGGAAUACAUCUGGAUAAUCCCUCACUACCAGAACUGACUCAACGGUAAGAGUAUCAACACUGACAUCUCUCACAUAUGCUAGAUACAUAUUACACCCCUUCUCAACCAUCCGCUGAGCCUUUAAAAAUGAGAUAACCCUGCUAGGAACAUAAUCUAAAGUACCUCUCCACUCUAACCGUGGUAAACCUGGCAUAGCCAACGUCACAGUCUUGGCGCGACAAUCAAGAAUAGCAUGACAGGGCGACAACCAAUCCAUGCCCAAAAUAACAUCAAAAUCUAUUAUACUGAGCAGCAAUAAAUCAGCUUUGGUCUCAAAACCACUAAGGAUAACUAAACACGUCUGAUACACAUGGUCAACAACAAGGGAAUCUCCCUCAGGUGUGGACACAUAAAUGGGUGAACUCAAAGAAUCACGGGAUACACCCAAAUAUGGAGCAAAGUAAGAUGACAUAUGAAUAAUUAGAGCCUGGAUCAAAUAAGACUGAUGCAUCCUUAUGGCAGACCAAAACAAUACCUGUGAUGACUGAGUAAGAUGCAACUGCCUUCGUCCUAGCAGGAAGAGCAUAAUAUCUAGACUAGCCUCCCCCUUUAGGGUGACCUCUACCUGCCCGACCCCCGCCUCUAGCUGGCUGUACAUGUGGAGUGGCAACUGGUGCGAUAACCAUGGGCUGAGAAGCCUGAGGACCUAGUGGAAUACGCGGAGUCUGAGUAGUCUGUGGAGGUGCACACCUCUUGAGUCUAGGGCAAUCCCUC